rnacentral:rRNA from 1 species
UACAGAGGGGGCAAGCGUUGUUCGGAAUUACUGGGCGUAAGGGGCGCGUAGGCGGCCUGCUAAGUCGAACGUGAAAUCCCCGGGCUCAACCCGGGAACUGCGUCCGAUACUGGCAGGCUUGAAUUCGGGAGAGGGAUGUGGAAUUCCAGGUGUAGCGGUGAAAUGCGUAGAUACCUGGAGGAACACCGGUGGCGAAGGCGGCAUCUGGACCGAGACUGACGCUGAGGCGCGACAGCGUGGGGAGCAAACAGG